CCUACGGGGGGCAGCAGUGGGGAAUAUUGGACAAUGGGGGUAACCCUGAUCCAGCGACGCCGCGUGAGUGAAGAAGUAUUUCGGUAUUUAAAGCUCUAUCAGCAGGGAAGAAAGAAAUGACGGUACCUGACUAAGAAGCCUCGGCUAACUACGUGCCAGCAGCCGCGGCAAUACGUAGGGGGCAAGCGUUAUCCGGAUUUACUGGGUGUAAAGGGAGCGUAGACGGCGAUGCAAGUCUGAAGUGAAAGGCGGGGGCCCAACCCCUGGACUGCUUUGGAAACUGUAUGGCUGGAGUGCAGGGGAGGUAAGUGGAAUUCCUAGUGUAGCGGUGAAAUGCGUAGAUAUUAGGAGGAACACCAGUGGCGAAGGCGGCUUACUGGACUGUAACUGACGUUGAGGCUCGAAAGCGUGGGGAGCAAACAGGAUUAGAUACCCCAGUAGUC
rnacentral:rRNA from 1 species